UCUCUCUCUCUCUCUCUCUCUCUCCAGAUAAGAGGGGACUGGUCCUAAAUACUUCUUUCCUAUAGUGUUCAUGCUUUGGUGAAGAAAUCAAUUCCACCACCAUUAUAGAAUCCACAACCCAAUUGAUUACUCAAGAAAUAAAACUUCCCUCCUUCAAUAUUGUAUACAUAAUCUGAAGCAAAUUAGGGCAAGGGAAAUUUGGUACAACCCAUCAACGCAUAGAGAAAUCUACAGUUCGUCUACUUGUGUCACUGGUGUGAGUUGAGGAAAAAGAAAGGUAGAGUGACGGUACAAGAGGGGUAAGGGUAGAUCCAUGGGCAAAGGAGAUGAAGGAGCGAUGAGAAACAAUAUCCACCUGGAAGUCACGAUAUUUUGGGGAGAAUACUCAAUCUGUUCUUUGACAAUAACCUUUGGAGCCGGUUUACCUGAAUCGGAGCUUAACUGGAUGUAAUCGUCAUCCUAUCGCCACUUCCCGCUAAGGGCAUCGACACUUAAGUUCUUCCUCAAGAUAUACAAGGCAUCGACACAUCAAUUCUUCUUCAAACUCUUGGAUUGAACCCACUUUGUUUCUUCUAGGUUUAAUCUCUCAUUCUUAGAAAAACUAUAAUCUAAAUCUAUGGUAUUUGUAAUCUAAUUUUGGUGAUUGAACGAUUUCGUGUUCCAAAAUCAAUUUUGAAGAACAAAUGGUUUUGUGUUUAUUUUC